rnacentral:rRNA from 1 species
GACGAACGCUGGCGGCGCGCCUAACACAUGCAAGUCGAACGAGCGAGAGAGAGCUUGCUUUCUCGAGCGAGUGGCGAACGGGUGAGUAACGCGUGAGGAACCUGCCUCAAAGAGGGGGACAACAGUUGGAAACGACUGCUAAUACCGCAUAAGCCCACGACCCGGCAUCGGGUAGAGGGAAAAGGAGCAAUCCGCUUUGAGAUGGCCUCGCGUCCGAUUAGCUAGUUGGUGAGGUAACGGCCCACCAAGGCGACGAUCGGUAGCCGGACUGAGAGGUUGAACGGCCACAUUGGGACUGAGACACGGCCCAGACUCCUACGGGAGGCAGCAGUGGGGAAUAUUGCACAAUGGGGGAAACCCUGAUGCAGCGACGCCGCGUGGAGGAAGAAGGUCUUCGGAUUGUAAACUCCUGUUGUUGAGGAAGAUAAUGACGGUACCCAACAAGGAAGUGACGGCUAACUACGUG